rnacentral:rRNA from 1 species
AGUGAACGCUGGCGGUAGGCCUAACACAUGCAAGUCGAACGGCAGCACAGUAAGAGCUUGCUCUUACGGGUGGCGAGUGGCGGACGGGUGAGGAAUACAUCGGAAUCUACUUUUUCGUGGGGGAUAACGUAGGGAAACUUACGCUAAUACCGCAUACGACCUACGGGUGAAAGCAGGGGAUCUUCGGACCUUGCGCGAUUGUAUGAGCCGAUGUCGGAUUAGCUAGUUGGCGGGGUAAAGGCCCACCAAGGCGACGAUCCGUAGCUGGUCUGAGAGGAUGAUCAGCCACACUGGAACUGAGACACGGUCCAGACUCCUACGGGAGGCAGCAGUGGGGAAUAUUGGACAAUGGGCGCAAGCCUGAUCCAGCCAUACCGCGUGGGUGAAGAAGGCCUUCGGGUUGUAAAGCCCUUUUGUUGGGAAAGAAAAGCAGCAGGUUAAUACCCCGCUGCUCUGACGGUACCCAAAGAAUAAGCACCGGCUAACUUCGUG